AUCCUUCUGUAGUUCAUAAGUGUGAUGGUUGAGUGUUCACAUGCACACGGGAGAUGUGCCUCCCUCAAAGCUUGUUGUAACGUCGACACAUUACCCAUCUGACA